GCUAAAAGACCAUACCCAACAGCUUCCGCCGUGUGAAAUUUGGGGCACUAAAAGACCGUGCACAACAGGUUCUGAAGUUUAAGGCCCGAUUCCAAGCCGCCCCCUGCCCCUACACCCUGGCGUACUCACUGACAUCUGACAGUCAAUCACGUUUCCUUCUGCUACCAAGAUUCUAGCAAGAAUUGAGAGCUAGGGUCAGGGUAGGCUUUGACCAAUUUGCUGCCCUAGGCAAGAUUUUAGCUUUUUAUUUGUCCUAAUAAUCAUAAAGUCGUGCCUUGGAAAUAUUCUCCACCAGCCAGCCAAUCACGUUUUCGUCUUGGAUUCAACCAAGAAUUGAGAGCUCUGGCCAAUCAGCGCUCGUAUCGUAACCAAGAUUCAACCAAGAAUUUAUCAAUUGGCGUCUCAGUAUAGUCCGAAGAUGCCGGUUAGUGAGAGAAUCACUUUUUCCCAACAAUGCGAAAAGGGAACCAUGCUUUAGAAAACGGGCUGACGACAGUCUGAACCUUACAGACACAUUGGAAGCUACGAUGGUCAAGGAAAGAACAAAGGCAGACCUUGGAUGCGACCUCUUUCCCCAGAGGAAGUGAAGGAUAAGGCCAGAAGAGCCACAACCCAGCAACAUGGAGAUCCAUCCAACAGAGGACACCUGAUGGGUUACUUCAAAUUGUGUCACCAGGUGUGGAGAGCACUAAAAGGUGCUUCAUUGGGGCUCACAGUCCCGCACAGUGGCCAGACUGCAACCGAGUGGUGGAGGCCAUCUUCACAAAGCUCUGUCAGCUCUACCCAAAUAGUGUGCGCUGAGACAGAGUGGGGGUCUCAAGAUUCAAAAUGGUGACACGUGCUUAUAAGCACAUCCGAGAGUGUAGGAUCACCAACGCCAAGUUGAUGAGUGAGACCACCAUCCAGCUCCCAGAAGUCAAUGCUGCAACUGUCACACAAGGGUUCAGCAGGCGUUGCAGGUCUCAGGAACCUCAGAUCCUGAAGCAGGGUAUCCUAGCUCCUGACGCACAAAUGGCAGGACCUGAGAAGCUUCCUGUGGCCAUGCAGAAAGGGCCAUCUCUGUAUCCCGGCAGUUUGGCUCAGCCUCACAUCUUUGUUGUGCCACCAUACACUGCUGGUGAGGCAAAGCUCAAGAAGGGAUUGAGACCAUUGGCCAUCUCGCAGGUCCUACCACCACCACCUCCACUUCAAUACUAUGGACGUCCCUUCCUUGCACCAGCACCACCAUUCUCAAUUCCCUAUAUGGUACCAUCUAUGCCUGGACCCUCACAGGUUGCGCCUGGAAGCUCACCAAUGGUGCUUCUCAACAUGCCAUUGUCUCCAGCAGCUACUCAGGCGCUAACAUCAGGUCAAGCGAACAUACCGUACUCAACACAGCAGUACAGGAAAAGAAAAGAAGAAAGGGAGCAAUCUGGAAAGGGCAAAAGAAAGUAUGUAAAAAAGACAGACAGAAUCAUUUGUAAAAAGUGCCAGGAAGGGAGGAAGCCACCUGCCCAUUUACAGUUCUUUGGCAAUUGGUACUGUGAAGCAUCAGAGAGCCAGUCCUAUGAGGAAUGGAGGGCUAUGCUGGAGCAAAGAGGGUAUGGGAAAAACAAACGAACAGAUGCCCCUUAAAUGAUUACAUUUUGUGAGUAGGGGGAGGGUGGUUCAUUUUCUUAUUUAUUUUACACUUUAUUUAUUUACAAUUUAUUGCACUAUUUAGUUAGUUAUGUGUUAUGUUAUUUAUGGUACACUGUUGUUAUUAUGAAUGUUGUUGUGACUUUUUUGGAUGUUUCUGUGUUUUAACUUCUUUAUAAUAUUUGUUAUUUAAUUUUACUACUUUUUCGUUUUGUUAUAUUUUGCACUGUUUAUUGCACCGUUUGUAAUUUGAGACGUUAAUGUAAUAUUUUAAUAAUUGUUGUGGUUGUUGUUGUAAUUAUUAUUGUUGUUUUAAAUAUAAAAACAAGUUUGGA